GGGUUGUGAGGUUAAGCGACUAAGCGUACACGGUGGAUGCCCUGGCAGUCAGAGGCGAUGAAGGACGUGCUAAUCUGCGAUAAGCGUCGGUGAGGUGAUAUGAACCGUUAUAACCGGCGAUUUCCGAAUGGGGAAACCCAGUGUGUUUCGACACACUAUCAUUAACUGAAUCCAUAGGUUAAUGAGGCGAACCGGGGGAACUGAAACAUCUAAGUACCCCGAGGAAAAGAAAUCAACCGAGAUUCCCCCAGUAGCGGCGAGCGAACGGGGAGGAGCCCAGAGCCUGAAUCAGUGUGUGUGUUAGUGGAAGCGUCUGGAAAGGCGUGCGAUACAGGGUGACAGCCCCGUACACAAAAAUGCACAUAUUGUGAGCUCGAUGAGUAGGGCGGGACACGUGGUAUCCUGUCUGAAUAUGGGGGGACCAUCCUCCAAGGCUAAAUACUCCUGACUGACCGAUAGUGAACCAGUACCGUGAGGGAAAGGCGAAAAGAACCCCGGCGAGGGGAGUGAAAAAGAACCUGAAACCGUGUACGUACAAGCAGUGGGAGCCUCUUAAUGGGGUGACUGCGUACCUUUUGUAUAAUGGGUCAGCGACUUAUAUUCUGUAGCAAGGUUAACCGAAUAGGGGAGCCGAAGGGAAACCGAGUCUUAACUGGGCGUUAAGUUGCAGGGUAUAGACCCGAAACCCGGUGAUCUAGCCAUGGGCAGGUUGAAGGUUGGGUAACACUAACUGGAGGACCGAACCGACUAAUGUUGAAAAAUUAGCGGAUGACUUGUGGCUGGGGGUGAAAGGCCAAUCAAACCGGGAGAUAGCUGGUUCUCCCCGAAAGCUAUUUAGGUAGCGCCUCGUGAAUUCAUCUCCGGGGGUAGAGCACUGUUUCGGCAAGGGGGUCAUCCCGACUUACCAACCCGAUGCAAACUGCGAAUACCGGAGAAUGUUAUCACGGGAGACACACGGCGGGUGCUAACGUCCGUCGUGAAGAGGGAAACAACCCAGACCGCCAGCUAAGGUCCCAAAGUCAUGGUUAAGUGGGAAACGAUGUGGGAAGGCCCAGACAGCCAGGAUGUUGGCUUAGAAGCAGCCAUCAUUUAAAGAAAGCGUAAUAGCUCACUGGUCGAGUCGGCCUGCGCGGAAGAUGUAACGGGGCUAAACCAUGCACCGAAGCUGCGGCAGCGACACUAUGUGUUGUUGGGUAGGGGAGCGUUCUGUAAGCCUGUGAAGGUGGCCUGUGAGGGUUGCUGGAGGUAUCAGAAGUGCGAAUGCUGACAUAAGUAACGAUAAAGCGGGUGAAAAGCCCGCUCGCCGGAAGACCAAGGGUUCCUGUCCAACGUUAAUCGGGGCAGGGUGAGUCGACCCCUAAGGCGAGGCCGAAAGGCGUAGUCGAUGGGAAACAGGUUAAUAUUCCUGUACUUGGUGUUACUGCGAAGGGGGGACGGAGAAGGCUAUGUUGGCCGGGCGACGGUUGUCCCGGUUUAAGCGUGUAGGCUGGUUUUCCAGGCAAAUCCGGAAAACCAAGGCUGAGGCGUGAUGACGAGGCACUACGGUGCUGAAGCGACAAAUGCCCUGCUUCCAGGAAAAGCCUCUAAGCAUCAGGUAACAUCAAAUCGUACCCCAAACCGACACAGGUGGUCAGGUAGAGAAUACCAAGGCGCUUGAGAGAACUCGGGUGAAGGAACUAGGCAAAAUGGUGCCGUAACUUCGGGAGAAGGCACGCUGAUAUGUAGGUGAAGCGACUUGCUCGUGGAGCUGAAAUCAGUCGAAGAUACCAGCUGGCUGCAACUGUUUAUUAAAAACACAGCACUGUGCAAACACGAAAGUGGACGUAUACGGUGUGACGCCUGCCCGGUGCCGGAAGGUUAAUUGAUGGGGUUAGCGGUAACGCGAAGCUCUUGAUCGAAGCCCCGGUAAACGGCGGCCGUAACUAUAACGGUCCUAAGGUAGCGAAAUUCCUUGUCGGGUAAGUUCCGACCUGCACGAAUGGCGUAAUGAUGGCCAGGCUGUCUCCACCCGAGACUCAGUGAAAUUGAACUCGCUGUGAAGAUGCAGUGUACCCGCGGCAAGACGGAAAGACCCCGUGAACCUUUACUAUAGCUUGACACUGAACAUUGAGCCUUGAUGUGUAGGAUAGGUGGGAGGCUUUGAAGUGUGGACGCCAGUCUGCAUGGAGCCGACCUUGAAAUACCACCCUUUAAUGUUUGAUGUUCUAACGUUGGCCCGUAAUCCGGGUUGCGGACAGUGUCUGGUGGGUAGUUUGACUGGGGCGGUCUCCUCCUAAAGAGUAACGGAGGAGCACGAAGGUUGGCUAAUCCUGGUCGGACAUCAGGAGGUUAGUGCAAUGGCAUAAGUCAGCUUGACUGCGAGCGUGACGGCGCGAGCAGGUGCGAAAGCAGGUCAUAGUGAUCCGGUGGUUCUGAAUGGAAGGGCCAUCGCUCAACGGAUAAAAGGUACUCCGGGGAUAACAGGCUGAUACCGCCCAAGAGUUCAUAUCGACGGCGGUGUUUGGCACCUCGAUGUCGGCUCAUCACAUCCUGGGGCUGAAGUAGGUCCCAAGGGUAUGGCUGUUCGCCAUUUAAAGUGGUACGCGAGCUGGGUUUAGAACGUCGUGAGACAGUUCGGUCCCUAUCUGCCGUGGGCGCUGGAGAACUGAGGGGGGCUGCUCCUAGUACGAGAGGACCGGAGUGGACGCAUCACUGGUGUUCGGGUUGUCAUGCCAAUGGCACUGCCCGGUAGCUAAAUGCGGAAGAGAUAAGUGCUGAAAGCAUCUAAGCACGAAACUUGCCCCGAGAUGAGUUCUCCCUGAGACUUAGAGUCUCCUGAAGGAACGUUGAAGACGACGACGUUGAUAGGCCGGGUGUGUAAGCGCAGCGAUGCGUUGAGCUAACCGGUACUAAUGAACCGUGAGGCUUAACCUUACAACGCCGAAG
rnacentral:rRNA from 1 species